GACGAACCGAGCGAACGUUAUUCGGAAUAACUGGGCUUAAAGGGCGCGUAGGCGGGCGAUCAAGUCAGGGGUGAAAGCCCCCAGCUCAACUGGGGAAGUGCCUCUGAUACUGGUCGUCUCGAGGGAGAUAGGGGCGUGCGGAACUUCCGGUGGAGCGGUGAAAUGCGUAGAUAUCGGAAGGAACACCGGUGGCGAAAGCGGCGCGCUGGACCUCUUCUGACGCUGAGGCGCGAAAGCCAGGGGAGCAAACGGG
rnacentral:rRNA from 1 species